rnacentral:rRNA from 1 species
UACGUAGGGGGCAAGCGUUGUCCGGAAUCAUUGGGCGUAAAGAGCGUGUAGGCGGCUCGAUAAGUCCGCUGUGAAAGUCCAGGGCUCAACCCUGGAAGGCCGGUGGAAACUGUCGGGCUAGAGUCCGGAAGAGGCGAGUGGAAUUCCCGGUGUAGCGGUGAAAUGCGCAGAUAUCGGGAGGAACACCAAUGGCGAAGGCAGCUCGCUGGGACGGUACUGACGCUGAGACGCGAAAGCGUGGGAGCA